GGUGGGGUACCGAAGCGGUCAAACGGGACAGACUGUAAAUCUGUUGGCUACGCCUUCGGAGGUUCGAAUCCUCCCCCCACCA
rnacentral:tRNA from 1 species